GCCUAUAGCCUAGUGGUCAUGGCAUCUGCCCGGUAAGCGGAAGGUCGUGGGUUCGAUUCCCAUCCACAGUGAACUUCA